rnacentral:rRNA from 1 species
CCUACGGGAGGCAGCAGUAGGGAAUCUUUCACAAUGGGCGAAAGCCUGAAGGAGCAACGCCGCGUGCAGGAAGAUGUCCUUCGGGGUUGUAAACUGCUUUAGUAAGCGGAGAAAUAG